CUCGUUUAAUUUUAUCUUAGCAAAAUUUUUGUCUACCACAUCUAAGAAGUUUUACAUGUAGGAUAGGUUUGACCCGUCCUGCAUCAACAACCUUCGCGGAGGUGUUGGAUCGAGCAUUGUUGGCAGAGCACGGCGAGACUUUUGUGCGUGAGAAGCACGAGUCUUCUGAACGUGCGGGGAGGGGUGAGGCCAUUGUCGAGCGGUUCGGGUGGGCAAUCAAGUUCUAGGCGCCACUCGAAGUUGUCCUCUACCCGGUCCUCCCCUGGAUGCGUGAUUUGCGGUGGCUCCCACUGGGCUCGGCGGUGCGUGCUGCGCAAUGGUAGAUGCCUUCGUUGUGGGCAGCCGUGCCAUAUGCGGGACGAGUGUCCGCAAGGGCAUGACCAGAUCCUGACACUGGCGACGACCUUUUCCUCUCCGGGACAGCCUGCAGGUGUGCCACCUGCGGCAUGGUCGGAUGAACGACCGUUGAGGAUGAUGCCACCGAGGGGCUCGCGGCGGGCGGCGGGUGACCGUGGAUACGCGACCCAGGUGGAGAAACCUACUACUGCUGACACUGUCAUGGCAGGUACGAUUUAAUUAAGCAAGCAUAUGCUUCUACCUAAUAUUGGACUGUUGCAUAGCAUGCAUUUAUCAUAUGGUCAGCAGCUACUAUCUACAUAUUGCAUAGUAGGGACCGAGUGGUCGGGUAGGUAGACACCCGAGCAUACUUGCAUCGUGAGAGUGUAGCGCCUGCUGGAGCAGAUAGAGAGUCAUGUAGCACUAACAAAUUGUUAGUGAUGGUUCCUGGACAAGAAAUGAGACUCGCGGUGAACGUGAAACGGUGAAGCGGCUCUCAAGGCAAUGAGAACCAGAUUGCGAGAGCUGCGCCGUGACGUUAAGGAUACCCUAGUAGUUCGAGCAUUUCGAAUAUGGUUCGGUAGAUCGAACAGUGAGAGUUGGAUCACUGUUGAGAAAAUAGUCGGAUAGUUAUCGAGCACGAGCAUGUGGGCCUAAUAGCACCCUGAGUUGAGGUGGGCGAGUAGUGCUCGUGUAGUCGGUGUGCAUAGGCAGGUGGCCUACUGCUUGGCUUAGUUGAAACGCUAUAGAGGCGUAGAGCGCUCGAGUAUAGGUACUCGUAGAGCAUGGAUUUGAUUCAGCCAAGAGUGAGAUGGCAGUAGCACCGCAGCAUUGCUAAGUGUGAAGCUGGCCAUGGGUCACUUGUGGGGCUAGCGGCUCGCACUAGAUACUUAGGAGCCGAUAGAGUGUCUAGCUCGGUAGAGCAUGUCGUGUAGGACGACGUUGGUGGAUAUUGCUUGGGGACGACCCGUGCCUGGACCAUUUGUGGACUGUGAAGCCUGGGCCCAUUGAGCAGGCGCAGUCAGCUGUGAGAGACAGCGGCCCGGUACCUAUAGGUAGGGCAGAGAGUUGGUCAGGACGGUAGUCCGAGCUUAGACCCGGGUGCGUGGAAUGCCACGUGUUGGAUCGUGAGAUCGAGUUUAGUGUGUUGUGACCCAACCCGAGGACUUGACGUGGUUUGGGGUCUUGGUUGUUCCUCUUUGGAGUGUGUACGAAUUCCCAAGUGAGAAUUUCGCCCGGAAGUUAGGAUUGGGUCUACAAUGCGAGCGAGAGACGCUAUGCGUAGUUGCGACGGGCCUACGUGGUGUUGGUGACCGUUGAUCCGCCUAUGGAAGCCGACGUAAUCGGUUUAGCCGAUAACUCCAUGGAGGAGUUGGUGCAAGGAGAUGAAUUCUCGAAAUACGAGAGUUGAACUUCGCUCGAGAUCAACUAAUUGUCGAGUGGGAGUGCUUCGCAAAAGCCGAAGAGGUCAAAUGCACCAAAAGUGCAUUGCAAUGGAGUCCGCGAGAGCAAAUGGUGCAAAAAUCUGCACUCGGCAGAUUUGCUCUCGGGGACCGGUCCCUGGCAGGGAAAGACCGGUCCCCGUAGUUGGUGAUUGCGGGGUUGCGUGAUGCAACCGGUCCCCGGGCCAGAGGAACCGGUCCCCGUAAGCGUAACCAGCGAGAAGAGGAGAUUGGCUAAGUCCUGCGAGAGCAAGCUCUCGGGGACCUGUCUCUGGUAGACAGACCGGUCUCCGGGGGACCGGUCCUCUAGGGGCAGACCGGUUCCCGUAGGUGUGUUCAGGCUGAAGGCUCUCAGGAACCGAUCCCUCAUCGGAAGGACCGGUCCCUCUACGCAAAAAAAUUGCCCAGGCAAGCUGGGUCAUAUUGGAAGAGUUGGAGAGCUUGAGGAUAAUGCUCUGUGGAUUGAGAUUCGAGAUGCGCCGGAGUGGGCCAUCUCUCAAUAGAGCAAAGAUCCAUAUGUAGUUGGAGCACUCGCGAUUGGUCGAUGCACCAAUGAUAUUGCUUCUAAGCAAUGCCGGUGAUCGAAUCGGAGUGUGUUCCCUGACAGGAAAGUAAAUGCAGAGAAGAGUUCUUGCAUACCAAGUGGUGAGUGAUGUUGUAGCGCGUAGAGUCGUUGAGUUUCGACUUGCGCUACCACCAAGAAUGACGAGACCCGUAAUGCACUUUUGGACUUACACACGGCAAAUGUGAGUGAAUCUAGUAUCACGUCCUCCGUAGUGGGCCUUUGGAUAGUUCCAAUGAGCGAAAGGCCACUCCGAGAUGCAAAAGUGCACUGUACCCUUUGUCACUCAAUAAAGAGAAUUAGAGUGUGAAUUGGGUUGGAGUGAGUUUCGGGGACGAAACUCUUAUUAAGGAGGGGAGGAUGUAAGGUAGCGGACUUCUAAAACUAUGAAGUUACGGUGUAUAUUUAAAUGGUUCCGGUGAGGUUGCGGUGGAAUGUAACAUACCGGAUUUUAAAUAUAAAAGUGAAAAUAAAUAAAAAUAGUAUGAGAUACUAUUUUUAUUGGAUUUAGAGAAGUGAAAUAUAAGUUGGGAAUGACCUGUGCUGAAAUCGGAGCGAAAAUAGUAGAUUUAGAAUUUUCUCUAAGAAACGGGGCAGAUAAAUUAGCAGAAAAUGCACAGUCUCAGAAAAUUAUGAAAAUUGGCGGAGAUGUCAGAAACAUUUUUAUGAGGCUCGAUUUAAAGUUUCAUGCCAUUCUGACACCCGGAAGGUGAAAAAUAGAAUCCGAAAGCUAUCUGAUAAAGAUUACUGUUCGGUACAGUUUUCGGUGACCAAACGGGGUCGAAACUGAAAUAUUAAAAUUUCUUUGGACUUAUUAAGUAAAACUGAGCCUGCCUGUCAAAUUUGAGCUCAAACGGACAUUCAGAAGGGCUCCGGCGAAAAAUAUCAAUUUCUAAACUGUCCGAAGUGAAUAGUGCAUAGUUGAGGGACUAAGUUGUAAAAUGGAUUUAAUCCCAUUUCUUCUUCUCCUUCCUCAGCCGCAGCAGCCCCAAACCGCACACACACAUACGCAUACACACACGCAUGGAAGGGAGAGAGAAAACUUCCAUUUCUCUCUCUAAAUCUCUCCCAAAAUUAAAGAAAUUGGUGGAGAUUGAAGCUUGUAGGUGAAUCGUCUUCAUCUUCUUUAUCUUCUCCAUUGUUUGGAGCUAAUUUUGAGGUGAGCUUCUUGAGCCCUCUCAUGGUAGGUCUCUAGAUAUGUGGUUUUGAUCUCUAGAAAUGGAUUUAGAGGAAUCCUAGCAUGCUAUCUAGAUGAUUGAUCCUUAAUUCGUGAAGGGAUUUGGUGAUUUCAUGCAUAGUUGUAAUCUAGGGUUCAAAAUGCAAUUUUUGGAAAUAGUUGGGUUUGAUCUCAAUUAACCCUCCGUAAACCUAAUUGCUAGGUAACGAAACGCGUUGGCGAAGACGGUUCGGCAAUCCGACGAGCCGUUACAAAGUUAUUAAAGAAACGGACGUUUAGGCUUCGUUUACGCCUGGAGGGCCGAGGCGACGUCGUAAAAUCGUGAAAACGGAUUUGAAGCACCGUGGCACAUAACCGAAGACCUUUAAUUUCCGGAUCGCAAAUCGGAGAUCGUUUGGCUAGUCGCGCGAGAGUUCGAGCCAAAAUUGGAGCAACAUGUUGGAUGCAAAAUUGUUGGGGCUGAUGAGAGAUGAGCAUACAUUUUGUAAUUGCGUAAAUGGGUCGUUCACUCCAACUGCUUGGAAGAGGAUGGUAAAUGUAAGGUACCGGACUUCUAAAACUAUGAAGUUACGGUGUACAUUUAAAUGGUUCCGGUGAGGUUGCGGUGGAAUGUAACAUACUGGAUUUUAAAUAUAAAAGUAAAAAUAAAUAAAAAUAGUAUGAGAUACUAUUUUUAUUGGAUUUAGAGAAGUGAAAUAUAAGUUGGGAAUGACCUGUGCUGAAAUCGGAGCGAAAAUAGAAGAUUUAGAAUUUUCGAUCAAACCCAACUAUUUCCAAAAAUUGCAUUUUGAACCCUAGGUUACAACUAUGCAAGAAAUCACCAAAUCCCUUCACGAAUUAAGCAUCAAUCAUCUAGAUAGCAUGCUAGGAUUCCUCUAAAUCCAUUUCUAGAGAUCAAAACCACAUAUCUAGAGACCUACCAUGAGAGGGCUCAAGAAGCUCACCUCAAAAUUAGCUCCAAACAAUGGAGAAGAUAAAGAAGAUGAAGACGAUUCA
rnacentral:lncRNA from 1 species